rnacentral:rRNA from 1 species
GGCUGCCCCCUCUGGUCCUGUCCGAUCUUAGAAACUAAGCAGAGAUGGGCUGAUAUUACUUGGAUUAGAGGUCACCUAGAAAUACCAGGCAUUGUAGUCU